UGUUGCCAGGGUUGGUCUUAAACUAAUGGGCUUGAAUGCUACUCCUGCCUUGCUGUCUCAAAGUGCUGGGAUUACAGGCAUGAGCCAUCAUGCCUGGCCAUCUAUUACUUUUGUAAUCAGAUAAAAAAUAUUUUUAGAGUGAUGGGAUAGUUCAAGUCCCGAUUUAUCAAUGGCUAUGCCACCCUCCUCCCCACGGCAAGGUUUUGGUCUCGCUCAUCUUCUCCACUCCCGCUGGCCGUGCCCUGGCUGUGCAGACAGGUGAGUGGGCAGCAUCAAAGGCCCUGCGGCAUAAAUUUCUUUC
rnacentral:lncRNA from 1 species